rnacentral:rRNA from 1 species
AUUGAACGCUGGCGGCAGGCCUAACACAUGCAAGUCGAGCGGAUGAGUGGAGCUUGCUCCAUGAUUCAGCGGCGGACGGGUGAGUAAUGCCUAGGAAUCUGCCUGGUAGUGGGGGACAACGUUUCGAAAGGAACGCUAAUACCGCAUACGUCCUACGGGAGAAAGCAGGGGACCUUCGGGCCUUGCGCUAUCAGAUGGGCCUAGGUCGGAUUAGCUAGUAGGUGAGGUAAAGGCUCACCUAGGCGACGAUCCGUAACUGGUCUGAGAGGAUGAUGAGUCACACUGGAACUGAGACACGGUCCAGACUCCUACGGGAGGCAGCAGUGGGGAAUAUUGGACAAUGGGCGAAAGCCUGAUCUAGCCAUGCCGCGUGUGUGAAGAAGGUCUUCGGAUUGUAAAGCACUUUAAGUUGGGAGGAAGGGCAGUAAGUUAAUACCUUGCUGUUUUGACGUUACCAACAGAAUAAGCACCGGCUAACUUCGUGCCAGCCGCCGCCGUAA